AUCGCUUCUCAGCCUUUUGGCUAAGAUCAAGUGUAGAGCAGCAUUAUCAACAACAGCAAACCUAUGGAGACAGCCCAAAUGUCCAUCAACUGAUGAAUGGAUAAAAAAGAAGUGGGGUGUGUGUGUGUGUGUAUGUAUGUAUGUAUGUAUAUGUAUAUACAUAUAUAUAUAUAUAUAUAUAUGUAUGCACAAU